GCAAUUUGGCGCAGUGGAAGCGCGCCGGGCUCAUAACCCGGAGGGUAAGCACGAGCUUCGACUCCAGACAAAGAAACG